GGAGGCAUAGCUCAGUUGGUUAGAGCGCUUGCUUGACAUGCAAGAGGUCAUAGGUUCAACUCCUAUUGUCUCCACCA
rnacentral:tRNA from 1 species